GGGGAUUUGGCUCAGUGGUAGAGCACUUGCCUAGGAAGCGCAAGGUCCUGGGUUCAGUCCCCAGCCCCG
rfam:Rattus norvegicus chromosome 10, whole genome shotgun sequence.